AACGACCAAAACACCGCCUGCUUUGUGCAAUGGAGCUGAAAAUACCACUGUACGACUACUGGACAGCUUUAACAACAAAUACAAACAGGCUUCCGUACGUUUUCAUGACUCUCCACCUGUCGUGGGACUGCCAUCUCUGAAGUCAGCUAACUGCUAACCGUGGUGCUAAAAGAAGAUGGCAAACAGGUGCGGUAGCAUUGUCCGGUGCCUCUCCUGAAACUUCAGCGGACAGACUCAUGGAUUGAUGUUCCAAUGAAAACCAGGCAGUCGUGAUCAGAUUCCUGAUAGGCUACCUGAGGGGAGACGUCUGUCUUCAUUGAUGGAACCAACAUCUCUCAGCUCAGCCAAUUGCAUUAGCAGGCUCCACCAUACUGGAGACUGUAAUAGUACUAACAAUGGCAACCAGAAAGGCUCUCCAACAUCCUGGAUCAUGAGCUAAUUUGUGACGGAUGACAUCAUCU